AUAUCUACUACUCGGAUAACCGUGGUAAUUCUAGAGCUAAUACGUGCGUAAAAACCCGACUCACGAAGGGUUGUAUUUAUUAGAUACAAAACCAAUGCAGCGCAAGCUGGUUUUUUGGUGAUUCAUAAUAACUUCUCGGAUCGCAUGGCUCACGCCGGCGACGUUUCAUUCAAAUUUCUGCCCUAUCAACUUUCGAUGGUAAGGUAUUGGCUUACCAUGGUUACAACGGGUAACGGAGAAUUAGGGUUCGAUUCCGGAGAGGGAGCCUGAGAAACGGCUACCACUUCCAAGGAAGGCAGCAGGUGCGCAAAUUACCCAAUCCUGACACAGGGAGGUAGUGACAAAAAAUAACAAUACAGGACUUUUAAAGCCUUGUAAUUGGAAUGAGUACAAUUUAAACCCCUUAACGAGUAACAAUU
rnacentral:rRNA from 1 species